AGCGAACGCUGGCGGCAGGCUUAACACAUGCAAGUCGAGCGGGCACUUUCGGGUGUCAGCGGCGGACGGGUGCGUAACGCGUGGGAACGUGCCCUCUGGUUCGGAAUAACUCAGGGAAACUUGAGCUAAUACCGGAUACGCCCUUUUGGGGAAAGGCUUGCUGCCGGAGGAUCGGCCCGCGUCUGAUUAGCUAGUUGGUGAGGUAACGGCUCACCAAGGCGACGAUCAGCAGCUGGUCUGAGAGGAUGAUCAGCCACACUGGGACUGAGACACGGCCCAGACUCCUACGGGAGGCAGCAGUGGGGAAUAUUGGACAGUGGGCGCAAGCCUGAUCCAGCCAUGCCGGGUGAGUGAUGAAGGCCUUAGGGUUGUAAAGCUCUUUUAUCCGGGACGAUAAUGACGGUACCGGAGGAAUAAGCCCCGGCUAACUUCGUG
rnacentral:rRNA from 1 species